UACGUAGGCAGCGAGCGUUGUUCGGAGUUACUGGGCGUAAAGGGUGUGUAGGCGGUUGUUUAAGUUUGGUGUGAAAUCUCCCGGCUCAACUGGGAGGGUGCGCCGAAUACUGAAUGACUUGGAGUGCAGGGGAGACUGGAAUUCCUGGUGUAGCGGUGAAAUGCGCAGAUAUCAGGAGGAACACCGGUGGCGAAGGCGGGGUCUCUGGGGCAACAACUGACGCUGAGGAGCGAAAAGCGUGGGGGAGCGAACAGG
rnacentral:rRNA from 1 species